rnacentral:rRNA from 1 species
GGCGCACGGGUGAGUAACACGUGGGUAAUCUGCCCUUCGGUGGGGGACAACAGCUCGAAAGGGCUGCUAAUACCGCAUACGUCGGUGACGGCCUAGGCUGUUACCGGGAAAGGUGGGGAUCGUAAGACCUAUCGCCGAAGGACGAGCCCGCGGCCCAUCAUGCUUGUUGGUGAGGUAAGAGCUCACCAAGGCCAAGACGGGUAGCUGGUCUGAGAGGAUGAUCAGCCACACUGGGACUGAGACACGGCCCAGACUCCUACGGGAGGCAGCAGUGGGGAAUAUUGGACAAUGGGCGAAAGCCUGAUCCAGCCACGCCGCGUGUGUGAUGAAGGUCUUCGGAUCGUAAAGCACUGUGGGGAGGGAAGAACGAGCAGCGGGAACAAUACCCCGUUGCAGUGACGGUACCUCCUUAGCAAGCACCGGCUAACUCCGUGCCAGCAGCCGCGGUAAUACGGAGGGUGCAAACGUUGCUCGGAAUCAUUGGGCGUAAAGCGCGUGUAGGCGGCUUGUUAAGUCGAGUGUGAAAGCCCAGGGCUUAACCCUGGAAGUGCGCUCGAAACUGGCGAGCUUGAGUACGGGAGAGGGUAGUGGAAUUCCCGGUGUAGAGGUGAAAUUCGUAGAUAUCGGGAGGAACACCGGUGGCGAAGGCGGCUACCUGGACCGAUACUGACGCUGAGACGCGAAAGCGUGGGUAGCAAACAGGAUUAGAUACCUGGUAGUCCACGCUGUAAACCGAUGAGUGCUAGGUGUUGCGAUAUUGACCACUGCGGCGACCGCAGCUAACGCAUUAAGCACUCCGCCUGGGGAGUACCGCCGCUAGG